CACGUAGGCGGCUUUCUAAGUCGGGGGUGAAAUCCUGGAGCUCAACUCCAGAACUGCCUUCGAUACUGGAGAGCUCGAGUCCGGGAGAGGUGAGUGGAACUGCGAGUGUAGAGGUGAAAUUCGUAGAUAUUCGCAAGAACACCAGUGGCGAAGGCGGCUCACUGGCCCGGUACUGACGCUGAGGUGCGAAAGCGUGGGGAGCAAACA
rnacentral:rRNA from 1 species